rnacentral:rRNA from 1 species
CUGACGCAGCAACGCCGCGUGGGUGACGACGGUCUUCGGAUUGUAAAACCCUGUCUUCAGGGACGAUAAUGACGGUACCUGAGGAGGAAGCCACGGCUAACUACGUGCCAGCAGCCGCGGUAAUACGUAGGUGGCAAGCGUUGUCCGGAUUUACUGGGCGUAAAGGGUGCGUAGGCGGAUAAUUAAGUCAGAUGUGAAAUCCCAGGGCUCAACCUUGGGGCUGCAUUUGAUACUGGUUGUCUAGAGUGCAGGAGAGGAGAGCGGAAUUCCUAGUGUAGCGGUGAAAUGCGUAGAUAUUAGGAAGAACACCAGUGGCGAAGGCGGCUCUCUGGACUGUAACUGACGCUGAGGCACGAAAGCGUGGGGAGCGAACAGGAUUAGAUACCCUGGUAGUCCACGCCGUAAACGAUGAGCACUAGGUGUCGGGGGUCGAACCUCGGUGCCGCAGUUAACACAUUAAGUGCUCCGCCU